ACAAUCGCCCGGCGCCUACAACAGCUGAAAUACAUUAAAGAUAUCGCCGUUCUUUUGCCCUUCCUCCCUUCUCUUAUGCAGUUGUCGGAGGGAGCAAGCUGUUUCUCCUUCCCUGCACCGAUGAGACACCAACAACUUCUCAUCAGCUGUAAGCAUGAUCCUCCUGUGUCAAAACACUCGACCCAUUAAGUUCGAUUACCUGAUCUUGAUCCAUCUCACAUGCCUUCUUCUUCCCUUCUCCGCCGGCACUUCUGCCAUCGGAGCUGUUCUGGAGCCGCGGGAAAUGAGCCCACUGCAGAUUAUGACAUGCACGUACCAAACUAGCCAUUUCAGUUCUCUGGCCUUUAUCCUCAGUAUCUCCUCUCUGCAUUUGGCUCCAAGUGCACAGUGUGUAUUCUGUAAAACACAUAUAAUAAACUGUUCGACAACGAUGGAGUAUUUUGCAUCACCUGAUGAACCGGUUAUAAGCAGAUGGAGCUCGCUGCCUUUUCUCAGGUGCUGCUCGUAGAGUAGCAGCAAUUAAUUCAGCUGAUUAAGGGGGGGAAAUGUUUAUAUUGCACUAUUGCAGACAAGGUGUUUGUGCUUACGUUUGUUCACGCUCGGGCUGCUAAUCUUUGCCGGGUUCUCUUCCUCUUCGACGCCGGUAGAGCUGUGGCAUUCUUUCGGAAGCAGAUCUCUGUAUUUUUCCUGGGAAAAAGUUCAACAAAUUAAAUAUCGAUGCUAGCUUGCUGUGCGUCUGUAGUGGGAGAGUUUGCAUUUUUGUACCUGUUGAUGUUCCCCUAGGGAGGCAAGAAGUUCAGCAGAAACAAUGGAGGUCCUCACUAAACUAACAGAGAGCAGGGCAGUGCAAUGGCCGCACCUUACUGUCACCACCUUCAGCAAGCUGCUGUAUGGAACACUCACCUGCAACAUUUUUCUGAUCAGUUUCAGACACAAACAGGUUGCGAGCAUGAGUUUUCGAGUGGUGUACGAGUAAGAUGGUGGUGCAGAAACUGCACUGAACGUAGCCUAGUUGCUCCGAGAGGUCGAGGAGUUGGUCGCCGGAAGCCAUGGGAGGAGGAGAAGAGGAGGCUAGCUGCUAGCUGCUUCUGCAUGAGAGCCUAGUAGUGAAUAUAUAUGCAACCAAAGAUCUGAAGAAGAGCUUGUUUCUCACUGUUGUUGCACUAAUCGCCAACACUUAUCUGAAACAAUUAAUCUAGGAAACUGACAGUUCCUGACUGCAAAAACUUCAAGGACUCUUUGCUUCAUGGGUUGUUUUCUCGUCUCCCCCCAUUGAUUACUCUCUCCGUCACUGUCACCGUGCCUCAUCUUCUCACACACAUGAACCAGCUGCAUGGAUUCCAUCGGUUUCGUCGACUGCUCGAUUCCUAAAUCAGGGGAGGUUGCUCCAACGUUUGAAUUCAAUGCCUGAGGACACCAUGAGGAAGGAGGAGGAAUCUUUGCACCAUUGGCUUUGUCUCGCUUGAGCUUGAGAUCGAGGAGGGUCAAUUAACUUGCCGAAUGAGUGGCUUCAGACUGGAGCUGCAAUGGCGACCGCAGGCAUUUUUAAUGCACCAAGCUAUUCCCCCUCUUGCAGGAAUUCAAGUCUGAAUUGAAUGCUGAUAUCUGAACUGGAGAAUCCCUUUAAUUACGUUGACAAAAGAAAAUAAACUUGUAGCUUAAUUUUUCCAUUUUUUUUUAAGUUCUCCAUGUUUAUAUAUAUAUAUAGAUGUAUAAAGAAUACAGCACAAGAAAUGGAAGGUCUGUUUGAGAUCA